rnacentral:rRNA from 1 species
UAGGGAAUUUUUCGGCAAUGGGGGGCAACCCUGACCGAGCAACGCCGCGUGAGUGAUGAAGGUCUUCGGAUUGUAAAGCUCUGUUGUAAGGGAAGAAUGGCAUCUAGAGAAUAGGUGAGUGACGGUACCUUACCAGAAAGCUACGGCUAACUACGUGCCAGCAGCCGCGGUAAUACGUAGGUAGCGAGCGUUAUCCGGAAUUAUUGGGCGUAAAGGGUGCGUAGGCGGCCUGUUAAAGUUUAUGGUGAAAGCGUGGGGCUCAACCCCAUAAAGCCAUAGAUACUGGCAGGCUAGAGUACUGGAGAGGGUAGUGGAAUUCCAUGUGUAGCGGUAAAAUGCGUAGAUAUAUGGAGGAACACCGGUGGCGAAGGCGGCUACCUAGACAGAGACUGACGCUGAGGGCACGAAAGCGUGGGGAGCAAAUA